GUUCGCUACGGAGGCCCGCUUUAAGGUCGGCUAUGUAUGACGAUAGGUCGACAGAAGUGUGGGUGUAGGGGGUGGAAGACAUUGUUAAUGAUGAAGAGGAAGUUUUGAAGAUGAUGAAUACACGAUGUUGUUGCUUUGAACUCUGGAACUUGACUUGUUGUUGUUUGUUGUUUGAAUAGUUUAUAGAGGCUUUGGCUCCAACGGAGUUCUUUCGCCUCUUUGUGAAAAGGGUUAGCUAUUAGACUAUUACAAUUGAUGGUAAAGGUUUGAAAGUUUUAAAAAUUUUGAAAGGUUUUCCUGUUUCGGUGGGUUGGUUGAUACUAUUGAGUCUAUGUUGAAGUCAAGAUUGCAAGUAUUAUGAAGUUGUGUGUAUCCGUGGCAUUCUGUUAAAAGGUGGAAGAUUGUUAUAGUGGUCCCGCAGAAUUGGCAGAGAGGAGGGCUGGAUUGUUCGAUGAUAUAGCUGUGGGUCAGUCUUGUAUGGCCUAUUCUUACUCGAGUAAGAAUCUUCUGGUCUCGAUGUUUUUCUGCUGAUGGCCAUGGUGAAGUUGUUAUUUUCACAAGACGAAGGAAGUUGUUCUUGGUUUUAAACCAUUCCUUUUCCCAUGCUUCUCUUAUUUUUCCAUUAAUGAACAUUAUUGCAUCUCUCUUUGGCAGUGAAGUAUUGUAGGUAGAUGUUUUCCUUCUGCCUUUGUUGGCGAGGCGGUCGGCGAUCUCGUUGCCUUUGAUUCCAGUGAGACCAGGUAUCCAGCAGAUGGUAACUUGCUGGUUUUGAUUUAUAUGCGGACUAGUGAUCUGGUAGAGCUUUUGGAUGUUUGGGUCUCUACAAGACCCAUGCUCUAGUGCUACGAGUACACUCGCACUGUCGGUGAAGAUGACAUUCUCCAGAUCAGAGCGCAGGGCAUCCUCUACUGCUUCAAUAAGUGCAAUUGUUUCGGCGGUAAAUAUGGAAGUGUGAUCCGGUAGUUUUGAUGCUGUUUUAUCAAUUGGUGAAUAAAUUCCGAAUCCUGCCGCUGCUCCAUCGACGGAUCCAUCUGUGUAAAUGUAGUUAUGUUUGAGGUAUUUAUUGUUUAUAUGUGCUUUAAAAUGUUUUUGGGCUAUUGUGCUAUUGCAGCCUGCUUUUAGUAUGUGCUUGAAGUGCCAGUCUAUUGUGGGGGGUUCAUGGUACCACGGCCGAGUGCCGUGUGAUAGUGUGCAACACACUAUCCGUUAGGAUUCGGAUACGAUCAUUUCCGAGUACACUCUUCGUUAGGAUUCGGAUACGAUCAUGAUACGAUCGGAUACGAGUAAUGAUAUGAGUUACCGUGAGUGGCAUAUAUAAGCCAAUUGCCGAGAUAAUAAACGCCCUCUUUUGCUCUCGAAACUACGACACCAAAGCGUUGCGUAAUACUCUCCUGGUACACACAUUUUGUAACAUGCCGAUCCUGCCAGGAGACAAGAAGCCAACAAGACAAGUCGAAUUAGCAACGCACGGCAAAAAGUAAAGUUCGAGUCGAUAUUUUCUGAAAAGUUUUCGCGCUGUCGUAGAACGUUACGUUACAUUAAAUGCUGAUUGAUUUUCAACGAGCAUUAAUGCUGCUGGACGGACGGAGCAAAUCCAUCCGCUAAGUGCUGAUCGAUUAUCGACGAGGAUCGACGCUGUUGGACGAACGCAGUUUGGCGAAGAAGACGAAGAAACCGGGAGAUGUAAAAGGAAGCGGUACAACGGUUGCGGAACAACUUUAACACGAUAUACAGCAGACGCAUUUGGAGCACGUAUAAGAGAGAACGAGACACGAUACGCUACCGGUUGCAGAUCACACAUUAUCCGUCUACACAUCCGUUGCGCGAAGUACUUCUCACACUUGGAUUUAUCGCAAGGAUAUUACCAGUGCGAGCUUAGGAAAGAAGAUCGAAACAUCACUGCUUUCACUACUUCGCAAGGACAAUUCCAAAUGACCAGGUUACCUAUGGGAUUGAAAGUGAGCCCAUCAAUUUUUUCACGUCUCAUGACUGUAGCUAUGUCUGGAUGAAAUUGUGAAAAAUGUUUAAUAUAUUUGGAUGAUAUUAUUGUUUUCGGCGAUUCCAUCGAACAACAUAAUAAAAACCUCAUGGCAAUUUUUAACCGAUUACGGAAAGUAUCUCUCAGACUUAAUCCCAGCAAAUGUAAUUUUCUCCAAAAAGAACUUGUCUAUUUGGGGCACUUAAUUUCUGCUGAAGGUAUAAAACCUGAUCCCAGCAAGGUAGCGUGCAUUAAAGAAUGGCCGAUUCCAACUACCGCAGAUGAAGUCAAAAGAUUCAUAGCAUUCGCUAACUAUUAUAGGAAACACAUACCAAAUUUCGCAAAGCUUUGCAUUCCAUUGAACAUAUUAACCAGAAAAAAUGUACCCUUUGAAUGGACAACUGAGUGUCAGAAAACAUUUGAUAUAUUAAAAGAAAAAUUUAUUAAUCCUCCAGUGUUAGAAUUUCCAGAUUUCAGUAAUAAUAAUACAUUCGUACUUCAUACAGAUGCAUCAGGGAAAGCUAUAGGAGCAGUCUUGAGCAAUAAAAAUAGAAAACCCAUAGCUUUCGCCAGUAGAGCUUUAAAUAAAGCAGAGCAAAAUUACGGCACAAUAGAAAAGGAGCUACUUGCCAUAGUAUGGGCAAUCAAACAUUUCCGGCAAUAUUUGUACGGAAAACAGUUUGAUAUUUAUACAGACCAUCGACCACUGGUUUAUCUCUUCUCGAUGAAUGACCCAUCUAGUAGACUUACUAAGUUCAGGUUAGCUCUUGAAGAAUAUUCAUUCACAGUUCAUUAUGAGAAAGGUUGUGAAAACGGAGCAGCGGACGCGUUGUCACGAAUUCACAUUUCUGAUCUAAAGGACCUAAACCAGCAAGUCUUUGCUGUUACAAGAGCACAAUCAAGAAAGGCAAGAAGUGCAAAUCCAGAUAUGGAUAAAGAGCAAAAAACAAAUAGUGUCGGAACAAUGGGAACUGAUCAGCCCAGCGUACCAACUGUAUUUGUGGAAUUGCAAAUUUGCGAUUAUAUUAAAGAAACUGAGAUAGGAAAAGAGACUAUUAAAAUUCCAUCGAUCAUUAACUUAGUUCACCUACGGGGAACUUUGACACAGAUCAAGGAACAUUUAAAAAACAAAAAAGGGAAGGUGUGUCUGGUACUAAAAAAUGAAAAUAAAAAGGAAGAUACAUUCAUGAAGAAACUAAAACAAUUAAAGAUAAAAGGAUUACCGAGGAUAAUAGUCAUCAACAAAAACAUUAAAGUGUUAAAAGAUGAAGAAAAACAUAAAAAGCUUUUAAUAAUGAAUGAACAUCAUAUUUUACCUACAGCAGGUCAUGCAGGAAUUCAUCGCACUUUAAAUACCAUAAGACAAAAAUAUACAUGGAAAGGUAUAGAA